CUGAUGCAAAGAUAACUCCCAUUAUUAAAUCUGGCUAGCCUGCCUGACAGUUUUUAUGAUCAAGUCUGUAAAAUUACAUAAUUUUAACAAUUCAUUUUUAUUUUCAGUGUUAAAUAGUGCCUUGAACUUAAGUACAUUUGGAUGACUAAAGUAAUACUUUUUAAGCUUUUUCUGUCUUUCUGCAUGAAAAUAACUACACUGUAAUAUAUAAUGAUAUUCAUCUCCUACUUCAUUUCUGUUACAUAAAGUACAAAGUCUUUCAGUCACUGGAGUACCUGUCCAUCUCCCUACUUCAAUUGGUAAUCUAUGAUUUCUUGUUCUGAAGGCAAUGAGAAUUCUACUUAGUUUGUUUGGCAAAGUUUUGAAAAUGGAUUCAUUUUCAAUUCUGUUUUAAAUAUUCGAUAGUUAAUGCUACUAGAAGAUUUUUGUAUAAUGUCAUUCCAAAUUUGUAGUACUGGUCAAUUAUCUUCUGCUUAAAAGCUAGUGAAAACCAUUCUGUUCAGGGUUCGUUGUUGUUCCCAAAUGUUACCAAAUCCAUUUGAAUAUAGUAAAUUUUUAAUUUGCUCAAUCCAUUUUGAAUACAAUUUCCCUUGCUGUUGCAACCCAUAUAUAAUGUAGUACAUGUGAUUUGAUAACUUAUCAUUUUCUAAAUCAGUAAGCUUACCCCAAACGUUUAUUAUUCUUUCAUUAAUAUCAAGUUGUAGUGGCUUUAUGCCUAUAUCUCGGAUAAAUACAGCUUCCCGCAGCGCUUAAUUAUCCCGCGCGGUGCCUCAAUUAUUAGCGAAGCGUCUUACAUCAGUAAGCGAUUUCAUCCCUGUGAGAUACCUCAGGUAAAUAUCGAUCGGGGAAGUUUAUGAAUACACAGUGUAGCUAGCUGUUUACCGUGUACUGAUAAGGGUUUAAAGACAACACGUGUUGAUGAAAGUCUGUGUUUUCACAAGUUUGCGGUUAAUUGGAGCAGGAGUGAUUGGAUUAUAAUUAGUUAAAGAUUAUAAUUAGUCUUUGCAACGAAAUGGGAUAACAGUUGGUGACGGCACGCAUGGGCUCUUUCAUCACUCUUCUCCCUUGGAGAAGACCGGGCGGUUAUUGAAUGGGCACAGGCGAAAGCCACCCUUACCACAGAUGAACACUUUGAGCAUCAUGGAGUGGAUUGUUGGUAAUCUGUCCGAGUCUCACCCAAACCUGAGCAAAGUCGCUACAGUGGGACUGCUUCUACCAACCUCCACAGCUGAUUGUGAGAGAGGUUUCAGCAGUUGAAUGUGUAAAGACCACCCACCAUUCACCAGUGAGCAUGAAAGUGCUUAAUGCCUUACUCAUGGUGUCCAUGCAGGGACAAAAAUUGAAUGACUUUAAUUUCAGUGGAGCAGUAAAGGAAUGGCACAGAGCCAAGACAGACACUUACCAGUAUAUGAAAACAAAAAUGCCUAUGUGUUGUUAGUGUUGGUACAAAAGAAGUGGAAGGACAUAUGUGUUGUUCGAAAAUACAUAUAAAAGAAGUGGACAUCUGUGUAGUGUAUAUGAUAUAUUGAU
rnacentral:lncRNA from 1 species